rnacentral:lncRNA from 1 species
UUUCUUACGAUGGACUCCUCUACAUACACUACAACAUAAUGGUGUAUUUGAAAGGAGGAAUUAUAAACUAUUUGAUAUAGUGUGAUUAAAUUCAAGCCAUGCAAACUUCCCAAAAUCAUUUUGGGGUUAUACCAAGAUUGCAAUACGCUACACACUAAAUCAUGUCCGAUCAAAGUCAGUUAACAAAACUCCAUGAGAGCCGUGAAAAGACAGUAGUCCCAAUUUAUCUCAUAUGAAACUUUGGGACUGUGACGCUCAUUUGAAAUGCACUGAAUCGGAUGAGAUUGAAACUAAAUUCGAUAAAUACAUAUUUGUGGGAUAUCCUAAAUAGAGAUUUGGAUAUCAAUUAUAUAAACGUGUUGAGAAGAAAGCCUUCGCCUCACGAUAUAUCGUCCUUUUAGAGAAAAUGUUUAUCUAGGAAAGACAAUGGGAGCAAAAUAGAACUUGAAAGAGUUCAAGUAUCCACAUAUAUAGUUGACCAAGUGGAUGAAUAUUAGUUUGAUCCCACACCUGAUAAGGGACAUACUCUUGAUCAGAAAGUAGAGACUCUUGAGAAAAUGACAGCUCCAUUUAAAUCUAGUAGGAUCAUUCGACCUUCAAGAAGGCACAAAUCCACAGUUAAUAAUCAAGUAUUUUUAAUUGAGGAUGAUAAACCUAGUAAUUAUGCAGAAGCAGAGACAAGUGUUGACUCAAAUCGAUGAUAGGAGGCUAUAGAAUCUGAAAUGAAUUCAAUGUAUAAAAACAAGGUUUGGACCUUGGUCAACCAUCCUGAUGGGAUAAAACCCAUAUGUUGUAAAUGAUUUAUAAGGAAAAGGUCGACAUGGAUAGGAAUAUCCGUACAUACAAAGCAAGGCUAGUAGCAAAAGGUUAAGUGUUGACCUUGAUGAAAUCUUUUGCUCGUAGCUAUGCUGAAGUCCAUUCGAAUUUUGGUUGCAAUAUUUUCAUGUUGUGGCUAUGGAUUAAAGCAAGCCUCUUGAAGCUAAAAAAUAUUUGAUUUGAUGGAAAAAUCAAAAGAUUUGAUUUUAUAAAAAAU